GGGUUGUGAGGUUAAGCGACUAAGCGUACACGGUGGAUGCCCUGGCAGUCAGAGGCGAUGAAGGGCGUGCUAAUCUGCGAUAAGCGCCGGUAAGGUGAUAUGAACCGUUAUAACCGGCGAUACCCGAAUGGGGAAACCCAGUGUGAUUCGUCACACUAUCAUUAACUGAAUCCAUAGGUUAAUGAGGCGAACCGGGGGAACUGAAACAUCUAAGUACCCCGAGGAAAAGAAAUCAACCGAGAUUCCCCCAGUAGCGGCGAGCGAACGGGGAGGAGCCCAGAGCCUGAAUCAGCAUGUGUGUUAGUGGAAGCGUCUGGAAAGGCGCGCGAUACAGGGUGACAGCCCCGUACACAAAAGCGCAUGUGCUGUGAGCUCGAUGAGUAGGGCGGGACACGUGGUAUCCUGUCUGAAUAUGGGGGGACCAUCCUCCAAGGCUAAAUACUCCUGACUGACCGAUAGUGAACCAGUACCGUGAGGGAAAGGCGAAAAGAACCCCGGCGAGGGGAGUGAAAAAGAACCUGAAACCGUGUACGUACAAGCAGUGGGAGCACAGGUUUACCUGUGUGACUGCGUACCUUUUGUAUAAUGGGUCAGCGACUUAUAUUCUGUAG
rnacentral:rRNA from 2 species